UUGGAGGGCAAGUCUGGUGCCAGCAGCCGCGGUGAUUCCAGCUCCAAUAGCGUAUAUUAAAGUUGUUGCAGUUAAAAAGCUCGUAGUUGAAUUUCGGGAUCAGAUUGUCGGUCGUGCCUCGGUACGCACUGGCAUUAUUGGUUCCUACCUUCUGAAGAACCGCGAUGUCAUUAAUUUGGUGUCGUGGGGAAUCAGGACUGUUACUUUGAGAAAAUUAGAGUGUUUAAAGCAGGCGCACGCUUGAAUACAUUAGCAUGGAAUAAUGAAAUAGGACGUUUGAUUCUAUUUUGUUGGUUUCAAGGAUCGACGUAAUGAUUAAUAGGGAUAGUUGGGGGCAUUAGUAUUCAAUUGUCAGAGGUGAAAUUCUUGGAUUUAUUGAAGACUAACUACUGCGAAAGCAUUUGCCAAGGAUGUUUUCAUUAAUCAAGAACGAAAGUUAGGGGAUCGAAGACGAUCAGAUACCGUCGUAGUCUAAACCAUAAACUAUGCCGACUAGGGAUCGGAUGAUGUUGAUUUUUUAAUGACUCAUUCGGCGCCUUACGGGAAACCAAAGUGUUUGGGUUC
rnacentral:rRNA from 1 species